rnacentral:rRNA from 1 species
AAGUCGAACGCUGNNGCUUGGUGCUUGCACUGGGUGGAUGAGUGGCGAACGGGUGAGUAAUACGUGAGUAACCUGCCCUUGACUCUGGGAUAAGCCUGGGAAACUGGGUCUAAUACUGGAUACUACGCAUCNUCGCAUGGGGGUGUGUGGAAAGGGUUUUACUGGUUUUGGAUGGGCUCACGGCCUAUCANCUUGUUGGUGGGGUAAUGGCCUACCAAGGCGACNACNGGUAGCCNGCCUGAGAGGGUGACCGGCCACACUGGGACUGAGACACGGCCCAGACUCCUAC